GGGCGAUUAGCUCAGUUGGUAGAGCAGGUGACUCUUAAUCACCGGGUCCAGAGUUCGAGCCUCUGAUCGCCCACCA
rnacentral:tRNA from 1 species